rnacentral:rRNA from 1 species
GAUGAACGCUGGCGGCGUGCCUAAUACAUGCAAGUCGAGCGAACAGACGAGGAGCUUUCUCCUCUUACUUUAGCGGCGGAUGGGUGAGUAACACGUGGAUAACCUACCUAUAAGACUGGGAUAACUUCGGGAAACCGGCGCUAAUACCGGAUAAUAUAUUGCACCGCAUGGUUCAAUAGUCAAAGACGGUUUUGCUGUCACUUAUAGAUUGAUCCGCGCCGCAUUAGCUAGUUGGUAAGGUAACGGCUUACCAAGGCGACGAUGCGUAGCCGACCUGAGAGGGUGAUCGACCACACUAGCACUGAGAAACGGUCCAGACUCCUACGAGAGGCAGCAGUAGGGAAUCUUCCGCAAGGGGCGAAAGCCUGACGGAGCAACGCCGCGUGAGUGAUGAAGGUCUUCGGAUCGUAAAACACUGUUAUUAGCGAAGAGCAAAUGUGUAAGUAACUAUGCACGUCUUGACGGUCCAUAAUCAGAAAGCCACGGCUAACUACGUG